CUAUUACAAAGUUUGACAAAGUGUAGUUGUAUAAUUGGUGCAUGGAAAGGGUUAAAAUAACCGCAUUUGGAAUACCCUGGGGUGUCUAUUUUCAAAAAUAUAUGGUUUGAAUGGGUUAAAUUGAGUUAACCGGCUUCAAAGAUGUUCCAAAGAGGAGAUGGAGGCAGACUGACCAGAUUUGUUAAAAAAGGUUUGGAAAUCAUAAAA